UGCCAGCAGCCGCGGUAAUACGGAGGAUCCAAGCGUUAUCCGGAAUCAUUGGGUUUAAAGGGUCCGUAGGCGGUCUGGUAAGUCAGAGGUGAAAUCUUGCAGCUUAACUGUAAAAUUGCCUUUGAUACUGUUGACCUUGAAUUAUUGUGAAGUGGUUAGAAUAUGUAGUGUAGCGGUGAAAUGCUUAGAGAUUACAUAGAAUACCGAUUGCGAAGGCAGAUCACUAACAAUUAACUGACGCUGAGGGACGAAAGCGUGGGUAGCGAACAGGAUUAGAUA
rnacentral:rRNA from 1 species